rnacentral:tRNA from 1 species
ACCUGGGUGGCUCAGUUGGUUGAGCGUCUGACUUCAGCUCAGGUCGUGAUCUCAAGGUUCAUGGGUUCGAGCCCCGAGUCAGGCU